rnacentral:tRNA from 1 species
GGGGGCGUGCCUGAGCUAAGGACUACACUGAUAGAGUAGACACGGAAACUUCUUUCCCGCCCCCC